rnacentral:tRNA from 1 species
UCUAAUAUGGCAGAAUAGUGCAAUGAAUUUAAGCUUCAUAUAUAAAGUUAAAUUACCUUUUUUUAGAA